UACGGAGGGUGCAAGCGUUAUCCGGAUUCACUGGGUUUAAAGGGUGCGUAGGCGGGCAGGGAAGUCCGUGGUGAAAUCUCCGAGCUUAACUCGGAAACUGCCGUGGAUACUCUCUGUCUUGAAUACUGUGAAGGUGAGCGGAAUAUGUCAUGUAGCGGUGAAAUGCUUAGAGAUGACAUAGAACACCAAUUGCGAAGGCAGCUCACUGCGCAGUUAUUGACGCUGAGGCACGAAAGCGUGGGGAUCAAACAGGAUUAGAAACCCCAGUAGUCC
rnacentral:rRNA from 1 species